UACAUUCCUUGAUUAUGAUGUUCCUUCAUCAUACACAAUGUUCUCUGGUCAGCAUAAACGUGAACGAUUCAUAGCAUAGCAGCCGCCCCUCUCCAGUUUCUCAGAAGAGCUGCUGUGUCUGUACUCGGUAGUGGCCAUGAACUCUCUUGUCCGAAACGCCACAGCAAAUUUCAGCCGCAGAGUUGAUGGCUACGAGCUACUGGAUCAAAACCAGGGUACAAAAGAAGAAACUUUGGGCCAAUACAGGACGUUUUCCAAGAGAAGAGCUCAGAGCGUGGUGGCUUCGUUAAGUUACAGGCGAGAUCGAGCUAAAAAAAGACAGAUUUUCUUGAGAUCAUACAAGUUAUCAACCGUGGACGACGACCGGGGACGACCCAAGACCAAGCCGAGGAAGCUGAAGGAGGCGGUGCUUAAGGUUAAGACGGUUGUGGUAUCGCUGGUGUCGUUUAUGCGAAUUGGUUCGUUGAAGUCUUGUAAAAAUUGUCGAUCGGCGAUUUAUGCGGCUGUUCCGAUAUCGAUUAAGAAGUGUUGUUGAAUUUUUAAAAAGGGCCUGUGCUGUGUAAGCUUUAUUUUCCUGUAGUUAAUAUUUAUCUGAACUUUAACUUGACACUAUAACGUUUAAGUGAAUAACAGCAGCUAAAAUUAACUU